GGCUAUGGAGGCGGUGACCGUAAGCUGGCCGUCGAGGAGGAGUUCGUGGACGACCAGCUGCUUGGCGUGGUGGGCGAGGUAGUUCUGUAGGGGGGCGGUUCUUCGGUGGUCGUGCUACGCCAUUUUAGAACAUGGAUGGUGGCGAACAGGGCAGGUACGCAUAUGGAGCCAUGGAGGGGCUUCUUCCACUCUGGCUGCAGGUCAGCGUUACGGAUACGGGGUAACAGUGAGUCCUCCAGUGGCACCUGAUGUUUCAAAGGCAGCUGACUUGACUUGCUUCACCAAUCUUUUGCAGCGGCAAAUGGUGGCGGGGGUGCUGCUAGGAAUGUCCCAGACAAUACCUGGGAACAGAUUGUCACUCUGCUGCUGCAGUCUGUGGGGAAGAAUCAGUCCAUGUCCAAUUCUAGGUGGG
rnacentral:lncRNA from 1 species